GUGGUGCAAACAGUUAAUGCAAUUGGCUGCUAACCAAAAGGCUGGUGGUUCUAGUCCACCCAAAGACA
rnacentral:tRNA from 1 species